GUCGUAACAAGGUCUCCGUUGGUGAACCAGCGGAGGGAUCAUUACCGAGUUUUCAACUCCCA
rnacentral:rRNA from 1 species